UACGAAGGACCCGAGCGUUAUCCGGAUUUAUUGGGUUUAAAGGGCGCGUAGGCGGUCACGACAAGUCAGUUGUGAAAUCUCCGGGCUUAACUCGGAACGGUCAAGUGAUACUGUCGGACUAGAGUGCAGAAGGGGCAACUGGAAUUCUCGGUGUAGCGGUGAAAUGCGUAGAUAUCGAGAGGAACACCUGCGGCGAAGGCGGGUUGCUGGGCUGACACUGACGCUGAGGCGCGAAAGCCAGGGGAGCGAACGGG
rnacentral:rRNA from 1 species